rnacentral:lncRNA from 1 species
CCCAGAUCUAGAUCUGACGUACUCGUCUAGUUUAACAGGGCAAUUGCAUUCAUGUGCACUCAUCACCCAACCGCCAUCCCAUACACACAUCCCUCCAAUGUCUUCAAAUUUUACUUUCUAUAGUUUCAACCCUACUGUUCAGACAUUGUAGUAAUGUGCUCAACAUUCAGCCUUAUCUAUUCCACUCUUCAUCCACUAAUGCCAACACCCCCAAUUUAUCACAAGGAGGUUCUAAACCACACUAAACUUUAUGCACAUACUUGAAUUGGUUUUGACUCAAUUUGUUCAAUCCUUUGAUAGAAAAUCUGUCCAUGGUGGCUCAUGCCUAUAAUCCCUACCCUUGAGAGGCAGGAUUGCCACAGGAGGAAAGCCAGCUUGGUUCUGAAUGAGUUAUAAGUUAGCCAGGUCUACAUAAUGAGAUCCUCUUCCAAAUUGAUCAACAAAGUUUCUAAUUUCUGUAAAUUUGCUUCCCCCCUUUCCUUUUUAAUACAGGUUUUUUGUAUGGAGCCUUGGCCGGCCUUUAAUUUACAGAGACCCACCUGCUUCUGCUUGUUAGAUUAAAAGCUGUGCUUUUGAUUCUUUUUUUUUUUUUUUUUUUUUUUUUUUUUUUUUUUUUUUUUUUUUUUUUUGUGUGUGUGUGUGUGUGUCUUAUAUCACUGUUGACAAAGAGAAUAGUGAAAUUGUUUAUCUUUGGGCUCCUCAUGCACAGAAAUUUAGACCAACUAACUGAAUAUAUCAGAAGACCCAUUAGAAGGCAAGGAAAUCAACGGAAGAACUGCAUAAAGAGGUGAGAGAGCUCCAAACAUCAUCUCACAACCCUACCUUGCAUUUAACUGUUUGCCAGCGUGGAUGAAAGGGCAAUGCGCUUUAAGUCCCUACCUCCUCCCUGACAGGGCUUCUCUGUAUAGCCUUGGCUGUCCUGCAACUCCACAACAGGCUGGCUUUGGAACUCAGAGAUCCACCUGCCUCUGCUUCGAUUAAAGGCAUGUGGUACACUUUUUAAAAUAAUUUACUGUACAGUACUAUUAGUACUUGACCCUGUUCUGAACCUGAGACCUAUCCGUUAAUGAAACAAUGAUUUUAAAUACCUCAAAAGGUAAUGACAAUUUAUAAAGCCUAUUAAAACAAAGAUUCAAGCAGAAAGCAAAGAACUAGGGAACCAACAAAAACUCAAAAUAUUGCCCCAUCCACGUUAUCCAUGACUAAUCAUGAAGUGCAUCUUUGAGGGUCCCACUGUUGUCUGUUGGCCCCAAACUGGCUCAAAGUGAUCUUCCUGCAUUUAACUCCUGAGAUAUAUUCCUUUUGUACUUUACAUGGAAAUCAGUAACCUGUAACACAGCAAAGCAGUACUAGGGAACAAAGUUUGUAACAAUCAACAUGUAUAAGUCACUGAGCUCAAGUCCCAGCACUACAUACAACAUCCAGGCAAGGGAGACCAUGCCUUUAGUCCCAGAGGCAGGUGGAUCCCUGAGUUAAGAUAGCCUGGUUCUACACAGGGUUCCACAACAGCCAGGGCCUGUCUCAGAAAAAAAAAAAAAUCUCUUUAACUCCCCAUGGGAAGCCUUAUCCUGAGGGGAAUAGUUGGAAGGUGGGGAGAACAGGAGGGGAGUGGGAACUGGGAUUAGAAUGUAAAAUGAGAAAAUACUUUAAAAUUUAAGCUGAUUCAAAAAUAGAAGUCAUCUGACAGGAUCCAGUAUUGAUAACAAAGGCCAGAUAAUACGCCAGCAGCCGACACUGAGGAAAUAGGACCCACUCCUUGCAAAAAGUCUUCCAGGAACCAGGCAAGAGGGCUUCUGAAUUCUAAGCUGCCAUUGUUAGCAGGUCUUAUACAAGACCCCUCAAAUUGCUAAGCGUUUUCAAUGGUUUAUAGGUUGGAAAUAAUUCCACCCAAACAGCAUAGCACUGGCUUGAGGCAUAUAGGCCAAUGGUACAGAAGAACCCAGAAACUGCACAUUCACACAGCCUUCUUUCCCAAUAAAGAUUCACUGUGUGGAAGGAAAAUUGGACAUCUCCUGGAAGGGUGGAGAAAACGUAGAUUUUGCCCACAUAAAAAUUAAGAUAGCUCACUUAAGCAUCAAUACCUUGAAUCAAUAUUCAUGUUAACUAUUUUAGGACACAGGGCUGAGAAGACAUUUUGGAUUAGACCCUUCUCAAAGCACAAACCCAUGAAACCAAAAACCAGUUGACCACAAUGUUUUUCUCAAAUGUGUUGUAUGCCCUCAAUCCCAGCACUUGCAAGGCUAGAUUUCUUGUGCUCAAUAGCGCUAUUUGUUGUUGAAUCUGUUGGGAUAGCUCACCUACCUUGAAGACAAAAUACCAUGUAACUAUUAAGGGGGCAGUCAGUUUCUGUUGACCCACCAAGAAAAAGAACUGAAGAAAUGGUUGUUGCAAAUGAACAUUUAUUUCAGCAGUCAGUGAGCACUGCUGGACAAAGAAUGUGGCUUACAAUGGGACUUUAGUCACAAAAGUCACCCAGAAUUUUCAUGAUGGCAAUUAUUGAGUUAGACCAGGGAAGAAAAUGAACAGAGCUGGCAAUGACUUGUGAUCAACACUGUCACACAUGUGCUGAUCAGAUAAUCCACUAAACACACACCAGUCUCAACUCCCGGCCUACACUGAAUUCUGUACACUAGACAUUUGCCAUAAUCCUAAUGGCUCACUACAAACCCAGCUUUAAUUCCAUCCACAUUCAAACACUAGAAGACUAAGUGCCUCCAAACAUUAAUUGCAUUCAAUUCAACCAACUUUCUGUAAGCACAUUAUCUCGUGCUCUAUUCAUAUCUAUCAUAGCCGUUGGCACACAAUCCCAGCACUUGAGCAAGGACAGGUGCGUUUGAAGACAGUCAAUACUGCACUUUCUCAUCUUGUCUUUUCUGGACGGUCAUAACAUCCAAUUCUCACUUGUGUCACUGGCCCUAGAAAACAAACACAGGGAUUACAAAACUACCAACACAAAAAUGAAAACAAAAAACCCCACAACAAUGCCUUUUUAAUGGUCCGUCUCAGAAGCCAGAUCCGUAAUUUUGUAUUUCAACAGGAAUUCAGGUUCGGGAUAGGGUCAUCAUAGAUCAGACCAAAGACAGUAUGUUCAUGUUCAACAACAACAAAAAACUGCACUCACAUGCAUUCCCAGGAGCUCUAGUAACUGUACAGGGAGCUGGCAUUUCACUCACUGGCAUUCGCUGCUAACAGAAAAAAAAAGCACUAUGAAGUAUUUUGUAGUUAUCUACUUAAAGCACACUAUACAACUGAGAAUACUUCCAUUUACUUCUCCAUACUUGAAAGUAAUCUGAUUGUUUAGAUCAAUUAUGCCUUACAAUGGUUCAAUCAACUCUAUAGCCAUUCCAAAUUAAAAGGCAAGCUUACAACAAAUCGUAUAUUAAUGUUAAGUUUAUAAAUGAAACGGUUGGCCAAUAUCAGUUUCUACACUUUAUAUUUUACCAUGUAGACGUAACGCUUUGUAUGCUCACAAAUUAAAACCUACCCUUGAUACACACCUUUUAAAAACAGUCAGGUCUUAAGCAAGUUAUCUCCUGUUAUGAAUUCACUGGGGUGGUUUGGCCCUCUGUCCUCCAUCUAAUUAAAGAAACAAAACUUUAAGCACCACAGCAGCCUCUACUCGUUCAAUUAGAAAACGAAGUUGCAUCACCCUCACCUGGGCAUUUCUUUGCAACUGCUUCGAAGACCCAGAAAACGAUGGCGUCAUUGUUCCUGUGAAAGGAGUAAUGCGUUAUCAGUCGUCUCUUGGGCGACACUAGCACCUUCUGAACAGCACGAAACUAAAAAAAAAAAAAAAAACCUUCCUCUGCCCAAGUCUUUUUGGAACAGAACUCACCCACGCCGGGAAAUAGGAACUAGACCCCUUAGGCCAUCAGCCAGGCCACCAAGCUCCAAUCUCCUUGGGCCUACGCGCCAAUCCUGCAAUCCCAUAGCAGAUGCGCAUUUCCCCAAGUAAAUUUUCAACCGCACUCUAACCUCAAACCUCCGAGGCUGUCCCACAAAACAGAAGCGUCCCAUUUUACUUUGCUCCACCGUAUUUCGCUUGGUCAUAACCCCCUCCCCCACAAUCCGCCCUCUCACUUACAGACAUAGGAAAAACCUCAGCUUCCCGACGUAAAAGAACGAGCCACGCAGCCUGCAGCUCCCUUUAUAGCCUGCGUGGAGCGAGACCGAGGCUGCCCCUCCCUCUCGCCCCUAUUGGAUGUGAAGCCAUGUGGGGGCGUGGCCUUUCCCUGGGGAACGCGUGGGAGCGCGCCUCUUUUCUUCCGGGCCAUCAUGGGGUGUGGUGCGCGCCCCCCCAGCUCGCCGCGUGCUCGUCCUUUGCGCGCGUCGCCGUCGGCACGUUGCCACCCGUCUCUUCCGAGUAUGUCCGGCCGCUCGGCUCUACGUGGCGUGGGAGUGGCGCCAGAAUUCAAACGAACAGCCGCAGUUGUAGGCGAGGUCACCGCCUGCUUUGAGCCAAGUCGGCUAGGACUCUCCGUGGCUGGGAGCGGCCUUUACGCGCGGCCCGUGGAGGAGCCUGGCUGGCCCGGUGGCCGGUGCUGCGCUUGGUCCGCGGCGGCGCAGCUGAAUGGACGUCGGCGGACAGUACUAAGACGGUGAAAACCGGAAAGCCCUACGUUUAUCCUUCGUGCACCCUGCGGGUACCGUAUGUCAGCAGAAGGCCACGCUGUCGCGUUCACGCCACCCAACUCCUGUUCAGGCACCCAGCCAGGCAAGCGGUGGUGGUGGUGGUGGUGGUGGUGGUGGUGGCAGCAGCAGCAGCGCACGCCUUUAAUCCCAGCACUUGGGAGGCAGAGGCAGGAGGAUCUCAGUGAGUUCAAGGCCAGCCUGGUCUAAAGAGACUGAGAAUGGCCCAAGAGCCAUGCCUUUGGGUGUAUUUGUGAGGAUGUUUUCAGAGAAGUUGAACUGAAGAAAGAAGAGUACCCGGAAUAUGGAUGGCAUCAUCCCAUGGAGGAGGAGACAACUCUUCAAAACAACUCCUUCCCAGAAUAGAAAUGAAGCCUUUGAUUGGAACAAGAACACUUCAUCUGUUAAGACAGAAGAGAAGGCAGGUAUUGACAGAGGAAGUCACGUGCAGCCUGUCCACCAUCCCAUGGCUAUGCAAGAGUGUGCUUUGGCUGAGCAUAGAACAUUUUAUUUUACACAGAUUCACAAAGUCCCCACAGCCUGUGCUGGGAAUAUCACUGUGUUUGGCAAUAACUUUCCCUGUUCUAGGGUUUAUGUGCACUUCUCUAUUCUGCAUUAAGAAUGUGCAUCCUCCAGAGACCCACAGCCAAACAUCAGGCAGAGCUCCAGGAACCUCAAGGAAGAGGGGAAGGAAGGAUUGUAACAGCCAGGGGGGUUGGGUCAAGGACACCAGGAGAACACAGUCCACAGAAUAAACUAAGCAGGGCUGCAAGGGGCUCAGAGAGACUGAUGUGGCAGUCACUGAGCCUGUAUGGGUCUGUACUAGGUCCUCUGCAUAUAUGCUAUGGUUGUGUAGCUUGGUCUUCUGGUGGAACUCCUAACAGUGGGAAUGGGGGCGGGUAUCUCUGAUUCUUUUGCUUUCUCUUGGAACCUUUAACCUCCUAUUGGAUUGCUUCAUUCAGCCUUGAAGUGAGGAUUUGUGCUUAGUCUUACAGUAACUUACGCUGUGUUUGGUUGAUAUCCCUGGGAGACUUGCUCUUUUAAUGAAGGGAAACAGAAGAAGAAUGGAUCUGGGGCAAAGGGGAGUUGUGUGUUUGGGGACAGGGGCGAGAGUGCAGGGAGGGGCAACUCUGGUUGGGAUGCAAUGUAUGAGAGAAUAAUAAUAAUAAAAAGAAUGAGCAUUCUCUUGCACUUGGUCAGUUUCACAGCUAUAUCUGUCGUUGGGCAGGAGAAAUGAGCUCCUUUGGCCAUGACCCAAAAGCGAUACAUGUAGACCAUCACUCUGAGGUAUAUGGUAAGACCUGUUGGCCAUGAGGGGACAAUAUUCACUGUUUAACUAAUCUUUGUCUCUCUCAUGUGAGGAAAGCAAUGUUUAUGUGAGCCAUCACUUUCUUGGUGACUUUGAUAUCUAUAAUUCUUAGAGCGAAUGACAUAGUUGAUCUGCUACUCCUGGUAUUACUUGAUGAACGGUUUGGCACAGAAACAGAG